CCUACGGGUGGCAGCAGUGAGGAAUAUUGGUCAAUGGACGAGAGUCUGAACCAGCCAAGUAGCGUGAAGGAUGACUGCCCUAUGGGUUGUAAACUUCUUUUAUAAAGGAAUAAAACGAGGCACGUGUGCCUUUUUUCAUGUACUUUAUGAAUAAGGAUCGGCUAACUCCGUGCCAGCCGCCGCGGUAAUACGGAGGAUCAGAGCGUUCUCCGGAUUUAUUUGGUUUAAAGGGAGCGUAGAUGGGUUGUUAAGUCCGUUGUGAAAGUUUGCGGCUCAACCAUAACAUUGCAAUUGAUACUGGCAGUCUUGAGUACAGUUGAGGUAGGCGGAAUUCGUGGUGUAGCGGUGAAAUGCUUAGAUAUCACGAAGAACCCCGAUUGCGAAGGCAGCUUACUAAACUGUGACUGACAUUGAUGCUCGAAAGUGUGGGGAUCAAACAGGAUUAGAUACCCUUGUAGUC
rnacentral:rRNA from 1 species